rnacentral:rRNA from 1 species
GACGAACGCUGGCGGCGUGCUUAACACAUGCAAGUCGAACGGUGAAGCGCCUUCCUUUUUGGUGGGUGUGGAUGAGUGGCGAACGGGUGAGUAACACGAGAGUAACCUGCUCCCUUCUUCUGGAUAACCGCAUGAAAGUGUGGCUAAUACGGGAUAUUCUGGGUCUGUCGCAUGAUGGGUCUGGGACAGUUUUUGUUUCGGUGGGGGAUGGGCUCGCGGCCUAUCAGCUUGUUGGUGGGGUGAUGGCCUACCAAGGCGGUGACGAGUAGCCGGCCUGAGAGGGUGGGCGGUCACACUGGGACUGAGACACGGCCCAGACUCCUACGGGAGGCAGCAGGGAGGAAUCUUGCACAAUGGGCGCAAUCCUGAAGCAGCGACGCCGCGUGAGGGAUGGAGGCCGUCGCGUUGUGAACCUCUUUCGCCAGUGAAGCAGGCCGGCCGCGUUUGUGCGUGGGUUGACGGUAGCUGGAUAAGAAGCGCCGGCUAACUACGUG